ACGCUAGCUACAGGCUUAACACAUGCAAGUCGUGGGGCAGCGGAUACUUAGCUUGCUAAGUAUGCCGGCGACCGGCGCACGGGUGAGUAACGCGUACCGAACCUGCCCAUCACACAGGGAUAGGCUUGCGAAAGCAAGAUUAAUACCUGAUGGUCUCAGUUGUAUGCAUGUAUGAUUGAGUAAAGCCUUCGGGCAGUGAUGGAUGGCGGUGCGUCCCAUUAGGAAGUUGGCGGGGUAACGGCCCACCAAUCCUUCGAUGGGUAGGGGUUCUGAGAGGAAGGUCCCCCACAUUGGAACUGAGAUACGGUCCAAACUCCUACGGGAGGCAGCAGUGAGGAAUAUUGGUCAAUGGGCGGGAGCCUGAACCAGCCAAGUAGCGUGCGGGAUGAAGGCCCUUGUGGUCGUAAACCGCUUUUAUCAGUGAAUAAAGUGCACCACGUGUGGUGUCAUUGCAGGUAGCUGAAGAAAAAGGACCGGCUAAUUCCGUGCCAGCAGCCGCGGUAAUACGGAAGGUCCGGGCGUUAUCCGGAAUUAUUGGGUUUAAAGGGAGCGCAGGCGGGAGUGUAAGUCAGCUGUUAAAUAUCAGGGCCCAACUCUGUUAUGCAGUUGAAACUAUAUUUCUUGAGUACGCGCAGGGACGGCGGAAUUCAGGGUGUAGCGGUGAAAUGCUUAGAUAUCCUGAAGAACUCCGAUCGCGAAGGCAGCCAUCCGGAGCGUAACUGACGCUGAGGCUCGAAGGUGCGGGUAUCGAACAGGAUUAGAUACCCUGGUAGUCCGCACGGUAAACGAUGAAUACUCGCAGUUCGGCCGUUUAGGUCGAGUUGUCCAGCGAAAGCGUUAAGUAUUCCACCUGGGGAGUACGCCGGCAACGGUGAAACUCAAAGGAAUUGACGGGGGCCCGCGACAAGC
rnacentral:rRNA from 1 species